rnacentral:lncRNA from 1 species
AGCCUCAUAUAUGAUGCUCAUAUUGUCUACAUCAUGCAAGAAUAUAACUAUGACAUAUGAGAAUAUAUAUGUAUUCAUUGUCAUGUCCAUGCCACGUUCUGUCCAUACUUAUACAUAAGAUCGGAUGACGCUUAUCACAGUCCAUAUUCAUGCUUCAUGGUAAAGAAGCUUCAUUCUCCAAGUUAAAUUCUAACUUCAGUUAGCAAUUGGCAAAUAGUAAUUCUCAUAACUUUUUUUUUUGGUAAGUAAAAGGUAAUUCUCAUAACUACUUUUCAAAGGAAAGAAAAGCCAAGAUAAUAAUUUUAAAUACCUUCCAAAAAAAUAUCCAGCAAGUAGAAGUAAGCUUGCCAGGUUCGAUA